rnacentral:tRNA from 1 species
GGGCGGUUAGCUCAGCUGGUAGAGCGUUCGCUUGACGUGCGAAAGGUUUCAUAGGUUCGAUCCCUAUACCGCCCA